rnacentral:rRNA from 1 species
GAUGAACGCUGGCGGCGUGCCUAAUACAUGCAAGUCGAGCGAACAGACGAGGAGCUUGCUCCUCUGACUUUAGCGGCGGACGGGUGUGUAACACGUGGAUAACCUACCUAUAUGACUGGGAUAACUUCGUGAAACCGGAGCUAAUACCGGAUAAUAUAUUCAACCGCAUGGUUCAAUAGUGAAAGACGGUUUUGCUGUCACUUUUAGAUGGAUCCGCUCGGCAUUAGCUAGUUGGUAAGGUAACGGCUUACCAAGGCGACGAUUCGUAGCCGACCUGAGAGGGUGAUCGGCCACACUGGAACUGAGACACGGUCCAGACUCCUACGGGAGGCAGCAGUAGGGAAUAUUGCGCAAUGGGCGAAAGCCUGACGGAGCAAGGCCGCGUGAGUGAAGAAGGUCUUCGGAUCGUAAAACUCUGUUAGUGGGGAAGAAGAAAGGUAUAAGUAACUAUGCACGUAUUGACGGUACCUAAUCAGAAAGCCACGGCUAACUACGUG